AUGGCCAAACCCCACCGCUGCUUCUCCCCGCACCUCGCCGGCGUCGCUGCCACCUUCCUCAUCUCCGUCCUCCACGCGCCACUCGCCGCCGCCGACGACGAGCCGCCUCCGUGGCCGAUCUGCGGGCCCUAUCCCCCCAGCGGCAACUACACGCAGAACAGCACCUACCGGGCCAACAUCGAUCUUCUCUCCGCCACCCUCCCCAGGAACGCCUCCUUGUCUCCCGCGCUCUACGCCACCGGAGACGUCGGCGACGUGCCGGACAUCGUCUACGGCCAGGCGCUCUGCCGCGGCGACGUCGCCAACGCCUCCGCCUGCGAGGCCUGCGUCGCGGCCGCCUUCCGCGGCGCGCGGCGGGCGUGCCCGCUCUACAAGGACGUCAUCAUCUUCUACGACCUCUGCCAGCUCCGCUUCUCCAACCGCAACUUCUUCCUCGACGACGACUACCUCGUCACCACCUACACGCUCCUGCGCUCGCGGGUCGUGGGCACGCCGGCGUUCGACGCCGCCGUCGGGCUGCUCCUCAACGCCACCGCGGACCACGCGGUGGAGGACUCCUCCAGGCGGUUCGGCACGGGGGAAGAGGGCUUCGACGACAGGAGGAACCCCAAGAUUUACGCGCUGGCGCAGUGCGCGCCGGAAAAGACGGCGGACGUCUGCCGGAGCUGCCUCAACGUCAUAAUUGGGCAGCUGCCGAACUCGUUCAGAGGCAGGACAGGAGGGGGCAUGUUCGGGGUGUGGUGCAACUUCCGGUACGAGGUGUACCCUUUCUUCCCCGGCCGUCCGCUGGUGCAGCUUCCCCGGUUCGUAGAGAGGCCGCCUGCUUCCGCGCCACCGGUGACCGGAGGAGAAGAGAAAAAGAGAAAUAGUGCAGGUAAAGUUCUAGCUAUUCUGAUGCCUACAAUUGCUGUGAUAUUGGCCAUCGCUGUGGUAUACUUUUUCUGUUGGAGGAAGAGAAGACCUGAAGAAGAUGCGUAUCUACCUUCUACCUCAGAUGAUAUUCAACACAUCGAUUCGCUUCUUCUCGAUCUAGCAACACUGAGAAUUGCCACCGAUGACUUUGACAACAGCAAAAUGCUUGGUAAAGGAGGAUUUGGUAUGGUUUAUAAGGGAGUCCUACCUGACGGUGAAGAAAUAGCCGUGAAAAGGCUUGGUCAGACUUCCAGACAAGGAAUAGGAGAGCUGAAGAGUGAACUGGUUCUGGUUGCCAAGCUUCACCACAAGAAUCUUGUGAGACUUGUUGGUGUUUGCCUGGAAGAACAAGAGAAAAUACUUGUUUAUGAAUAUAUGCCCAAUAGAAGCCUUGAUAUGAUUCUUUUUGAUUCUGAAAAAAACAAAGAGCUGGACUGGGGAAAGAGGUUCAAGAUAAUCAAUGGAAUCGCUCGAGGCUUGCAAUACCUCCACGAAGAUUCUCAAUUGAAGAUAGUUCACCGUGACCUUAAAGCGAGCAAUAUACUACUAGAUGUCGACUACAAUCCUAAAAUUUCCGACUUCGGCUUAGCGAAGAUAUUCGGAGGUGAUCAAUCAGAAGAUGUGACUCGUCGUAUCGCCGGCACAUACGGAUACAUGGCGCCGGAAUACGCCAUGCGCGGGCAGUAUUCCAGCAAGUCGGACGUGUUCAGCUUCGGCGUCUUGGUCCUGGAGAUCGUCACAGGGAGAAGAAACAGUGGCUCAUAUAACACUGAGCAAGACGUGGAUCUCCUGAAUCUUGUAUGGGAGCACUGGACCCGGGGAAACGUCGUCGAGUUGAUGGAUCCAUCCCUGAGCAACCAUCCUCCCGUCGACCAGGUGCUCAAGUGCAUCCACGUCGGGCUCCUGUGCGUGCAGAGGAAACCGGCGAGCAGGCCGACGAUGUCGUCGGUGAAUAUCAUGUUCAGCAGCCACACCGUCCGUCUCCCUUCUCUGUCCAGGCCGGCAUUCUGCAUCCAGGAGGUCAGUGUCAGUGGAACCUCGACUGCCUAUUCGGAAGCAUAUCCGCUCACAGAAAAUUCAACUGUGAUGUCUUCGAACCAAGUGUCCAUCACGGAGCUUUCGCCAAGAUGA
rnacentral:rRNA from 1 species